CUCUGCUCCAUUAGUGCGUCCGAGACGGCGUCGCCAGCAGCCACCGCUAGUUCGCUACUCAUCCUGAUCCUCUGCGUCGUGGGUUGGAGCGCCGCCACCGAAGUUGUUGAAGACGCCAUGCCACCGGUCAGGGGAGGCGUCACCCCUCAACCUGCCACACCACCAGCAGGCUGCACUCUGCAGCAAGUGGCGGCCAGCCGCGGCCCGCCACGACACCGGCCGGGGGAGGCGCCGCCCCCUCACCCCGCCAUGGGUCGCCAGCUGCCGCCCCUGUGCGUCCGCCAUGGGUCGCCACCCCCCACGAGCCCGUCCUUGUCCUCUCUCAGCCGCCUCAGUCGCACCAUCCAUGGCGUACGCAAGCUCGCGGCUUGGGAAGACAAGAUUCUUUGUGCGGCGGACACAUCUUUUGGAAGACGACCCAAACCAACAGAGGUUGUUGAUUCGCUCAGCAUCGCCCUCCACUCCACCUGCAUCGUCUAGGCAGUGCGGCUCAAACAGAUCGAGCCCCUCCGAUAGGAAUUUUUGAUGUAGUAGCUCAAUCUGAAAGUGAAUCAGGUGGUUCCAUCAAAAAUAUUUCAGAUGCCUCUCGCACGGAUAGCAGUAGUGGUCACUCAUCAGAUGGUUCUGAUGGACCCAGGGGACCAACCACAGAUGCAUAUGUGCAUGUCUUAGAUGAGUCUAAUACAAAGGUAAAUAAGUCAGAGCUAGCAAAGACCGUGGCAGGUAGAGUUAAAACUACAAAGAAGAGGAAAGUCCCAAGUUCUCUUCAGUCACCAAUAACGACUUCCAAUGCUGUAAAAAAGGAGGGGUACUGACGCGAGUCCAAUAAAAAGAGGUGAACAUAUCUUUUGUAUAUCUUGUUAAUAGAGAAUAAAGUACUAUCAUCAUUGUAAAAUACUUAUGUCUCGUAAUGUUCAUUACCAAGUAGCUUUCGUGACAAAAAAAACAACGACGAAGAACAAAAUUAAGCCUACUGCUAUGCUGUCCCAACGUCCAAAAAUGACAAAAAAAAAGGUAAUUUAUAUUUUACUUUUGAUCUAAAUAUAAGUAGUAUCCUCAUGUACUUAUUCCUUGGUUCCUCUUACGGUUCAUUUUCAGAUUUUACUAGUGCCAGCUUCAAUGACAAAAAAUUAGUUAUCAAGAAAAUUAGUACUUCUAGUACAAGGACUUCUGACCUAGGAAGUAUGAAAAAGAGAAAUGGUGAAUUGAAAAAUUGUUUGUCAUAUCUUAGUUAAAUUUUGCAACUAUUGGUAAACCCAAUAUGCUUAUUGUUAUUAUUUUUAGUGGGGAUGGAUUAUAACCAACAAGAUAUGGAAGCACUCUCUUCUCGAGAGGCAGCAGCAGUACAGUUCAUUUCCAACUUGUGCGCACAUAAUGAAACAAGUAAAACACGCGUGGUGAAGACACAAGCUACUACUUAUCAUCAUUUAUCAGCAAAUGACAUGAAGGGGCACAUCAUUCCUCGAAUUAUUGAAAAAUCCGACACUUGAUUUGUACUUAACAUUCAUUGUACUUAUCUGAUUCUAGGAAUACUCAUGACGGAAUUGUUAUAAUCAGGAUAACGUCCACGUCUUUCGGAUGAGACUGACGUCUUUCGGAUGAGACUGAUUGCGGACAUUAUAUUUUCCCCGACAAAUGAUAUUGAAGAAUCCAAACAGCGUGUUCAAGGCAUCACGCAAGAAUUGAAGCGUUAGAGAAUAGAUAUUUAUUUUUCUUAGGUGUAAUGGUUUGUUACCUUUCUCUGAGACUCAUGUCACUUAUUGGAUUACAAAUAAGAUUAGUUGCUCCA